UGUAGCGAUAUAGUGGCAAAGAGCACAGCAUUGGCCAUCAUAUCUGGCAUAGAAAAUACACUUUCCAUGUAUCGCUGUUACUGCCAAUGCUGUGAGGAUUAUUUGCAGAAGAACAGCGGCCCCGUCACGAUCCAUCCUCUUCUCUCUUCAAUGCAGAAUACAGCCAGGGAGGAGAAAUCGAGCACCGCUGGAUGGAUGGUCGCCCUUUCGCCGUUUCUGAAGAGGACAGGAAGUGGCGUUUCAGUAUAAAACCUGCCUGAUCUUCAUGGAUUAAGUCUGAUUGCCAUCAGUUGGCCUCUAAGCACACAUUUCUUUGUUUCCCAGAUCGAAGCUGGACUAAUAUCUGGACCCAAGUUUUCUCUUGUAAUUUGUUGUAUCAUGUCCCUAAUUUUACGUUUUGUAUCUUUUCUAUGCAUUAAUAAAUUAUUAAAUCUC